rnacentral:rRNA from 1 species
AGUAACGCGUAUCCAACCUGCCCCACCACUUGGGGAUAACCUUGCGAAAGUAAGACUAAUACCCAAUGAUAUCUCUAGAAGACAUCUGAAAGAGAUUAAAGAUUUAUCGGUGAUGGAUGGGGAUGCGUCUGAUUAGCUUGUUGGCGGGGUAACGGCCCACCAAGGCAACGAUCAGUAGGGGUUCUGAGAGGAAGGUCCCCCACAUUGGAACUGAGACACGGUCCAAACUCCUGCGGGAGGCAGCAGUGAGGAAUAUUGGUCAAUGGACGAGAGUCUGAACCAGCCAAGUAGCGUGCAGGAUGACGGCCCUAUGGGUUGUAAACUGCUUUUAUAAGGGAAUAAAGUGAGUCUCGUGAGACUUUUUGCAUGUACCUUAUGAAUAAGGACCGGCUAAUUCCGUGCCAGCAGCCGCGGUAAUACGGAAGGUCCGGGCGUUAUCCGGAUUUAUUGGGUUUAAAGGGAGCGUAGGCCGGAGAUUAAGCGUGUUGUGAAAUGUAGACGCUCAACGUCUGCACUGCAGCGCGAACUGGUUUCCUUGAGUACGCACAAAGUGGGCGGAAUUCGUGGUGUAGCGGUGAAAUGCUUAGAUAUCACGAAGAACUCCGAUUGCGAAGGCAGCUCACUGGAGCGCAACUGACGCUGAAGCUCGAAAGUGCGGGUAUCGAACAGGAUUAGAUACCCUGGUAGUCCGCACGGUAAACGAUGGAUGCCCGCUGUUGGUCUGAAUAGGUCAGCGGCCAAGCGAAAGCAUUAAGCAUC